rnacentral:rRNA from 1 species
UACGAAGGGGGCUAGCGUUGCUCGGAAUUACUGGGCGUAAAGCGCACGUAGGCGGUCUUUUAAGUCGGGGGUGAAAUCCUGGAGCUCAACUCCAGAACUGCCUUCGAUACUGGAAGACUUGAGUCCGGGAGAGGUGAGUGGAACUGCGAGUGUAGAGGUGAAAUUCGUAGAUAUUCGGAAGAACACCAGUGGCGAAGGCGGCUCACUGGACCGGCAUUGACGCUGAGGUGUGAAAGCGUGGGGAGCAAACAGG